CAUGUUUUCCUUUUUCGCCAGCCCGCGCGUGCCCAAAUCCAGACCGCCAAGCUCGUCUAGUCCAGUCCCCCGCGCGCCCCAAUCCCCUGCGCCGCCGUCCCCGAGGCCCGGCCGCCGCACCUGCUUGCGCCGUCCCCCACCCCGGGCUCCAGACGCGGCGCCGUCCCCGAGCCCCUGCCGCCGCCCCUGGUUGCGCCAUCCCCCGCCCCAGUGGCCAGCGCUCGCGGCGCUCGAGCACGGCCAGGCGAGCGGGCGGCCAGUCGCGGCGCCCAGCGCGGGGAACAGGCGCGCACGCCGCGUGCUCGCGGCUGAGCACGCAGCGCCGCAGCAGGCCUGGGCCAGCAACGGCACUCAGCCCAAGGCGUCCAGCAGCUUGGGGGUGCUGCGGCCAGGCCGGCGGUGCGAGCAGGAGCAGGUCGGCAGCAGCAGCUGGGCCAAUUCGGUUUGAAUCCUCUCUUUGCACUUGCCAAUUAAUUCCUGCUCAUUUAUUUAAGCUAAUUGACGGCCACAAGCUGCAAGGUCUGAGGAUCGACUACUGCACAAUUUGUGGUUUGGAAAGUUACAGGACAUAGAUGGGAGAGGGCUUAUGAAGGCCUUUUGAUUUUACGACUCAUAGCCUGGCGCCGUGCGUCCUCCUGGUCAACUUGUUCCAGCGCUGAUGGUGUCCAGCUCCUCCCUGAGCUUCCCAUUCUCCUUCUGCAGCGUGGAGACCUUCAGCUGCAGGUGCUGCUCCUCAUGACAGAAGAGGGAGGCAGCUCAUCUAAUGACAUUUGCGCUUAGCUGGACCAACAUCCUUUGCACCAAUUAUUGAGAUGGCUAUGAUCAUUGUGGAGCAAAGUGGUGGCCAAUACCAUGUUCUAUUGAUAAUUGCCGAUGGCCAAUACUUGUUGCGUGUCUGGUUUCAUUGUUUGUGAUAGUGUAUUCAGAACACGUCGAGGGCUCUAUCUGUUGAUGCAGUGAGUACUGUGGGCAGAAACAUCUCCGUAUAUGUGGA